GAGGAGAUGGCUCAGUGUCGAAGAGCACUGGCUCCUUUCCUGAACGACCUGGGUUCAAUUCCCAGCCUCCUCA
rnacentral:tRNA from 1 species